rnacentral:rRNA from 1 species
GAUGAACGCUAGCUACAGGCUUAACACAUGCAAGUCGAGGGGUUUCAAAGGAGCUUGCUCCUGCGGAACGACCGGCGCACGGGUGCGUAACGCGUAUCCAACCUUCCCGUUACUCUUGGAUAGCCUUCCGAAAGGGAGAUUAAUACAAGAUGGUAUUCAAAUUCCGCAUGUUAUUUGAAUUAAAGAUUUAUCGGUAACGGAUGGGGAUGCGUGACAUUAGGUAGAUGGCGGGGUAACGGCCCACCAUGCCUACGAUGUCUAGGGGUUCUGAGAGGAAGGUCCCCCACACUGGAACUGAGACACGGUCCAGACUCCUACGGGAGGCAGCAGUGAGGAAUAUUGCACAAUGGGGGAAACCCUGAUGCAGCGACGCCGCGUGAGUGAAGAAGUAUUUCGGUAUGUAAAGCUCUAUCAGCAGGGAAGAAAAAUGACGGUAACCUGACUAAGAAGCCCCCGGCUAACUACGUG